rnacentral:rRNA from 1 species
AUUGAACGCUGGCGGCAUGCCUUACACAUGCAAGUCGAACGGUAACAGGUCUUCGGAUGCUGACGAGUGGCGAACGGGUGAGUAAUACAUCGGAACGUGCCCGAUCGUGGGGGAUAACGAGGCGAAAGCUUUGCUAAUACCGCAUAAGAUCUAUGGAUGAAAGCAGGGGACCGCAAGGCCUUGCGCGAACGGAGGGGCCGAUGGCAGAUUAGGGAGUUGGUGGGGUAAAGGCUUACCAAGCCUACGAUCUGUAGCUGGUCUGAGAGGACGACCAGCCACACUGGGACUGAGACACGGCCCAGACUCCUACGGGAGGCAGCAGUGGGGAAUUUUGGACAAUGGGCGCAAGCCUGAUCCAGCCAUGCCGCGUGCAGGAUGAAGGCCUUCGGGUUGUAAACUGCUUUUGUACGGAACGAAAAGCCUUCUUCUAAUAAAGGGAGGUCAUGACGGUACCGUAAGAAUAAGCACCGGCUAACUACGUGCCAGCCGCCGCCGUAACAC